rnacentral:rRNA from 1 species
CGAACGGGUGCGUAACACGUGAGCAACCUACCUAGGUGUGGGGGGAUAGCCGGCCCAACGGCCGGGUAAUACCGCAUACGCUCUUCUUUAGGCAUUUAGAGGAGAGGAAACCUUCGGGGCACUAUGAGGGGCUCGCGGCCUAUCAGCUAGUUGGCGAGGUAAUGGCUCACCAAGGCUACGACGGGUAGCUGGUCUGAGAGGAUGGCCAGCCACAUUGGGACUGAGAAACGGCCCAG